GCAGCAGCCGCGGUAAUACGUAGGGUGCAAGCGUUAAUCGGAAUUACUGGGCGUAAAGCGUGCGCAGGCGGUUAUAUAAGACAGAUGUGAAAUCCCCGGGCUCAACCUGGGAACUGCAUUUGUGACUGUAUAGCUAGAGUACGGCAGAGGGGGAUGGAAUUCCGCGUGUAGCAGUGAAAUGCGUAGAUAUGCGGAGGAACACCGAUGGCGAAGGCAAUCCCCUGGGCCUGUACUGACGCUCAUGCACGAAAGCGUGGGGAGCAAACAGGAUUAGAUACCCCGGUAGUCCCUGUCUCUUAUAC
rnacentral:rRNA from 1 species